CUAUACUGUGAACUGCGAAUGGCUCAUUAAAUCAGUUAUCGUUUAUUUGAUAGUACCUUACUACACGGAUAUCUGUGGUAAUUCUAGAGUUAAUACGUGCUAAAAACCUCGACUUCGGAAGGGGUGUAUUUAUUAGACUAAAAACCAAUGCCCUUCGGGGCUCCUUGGUGAUUCAUAAUAACUCAACGAAUCGCAUGGCCUUGCGCCGGCGAUGGUUCAUUCAAAUUUCUGCCCUAUCAACUUUCGAUGCUAGGGUAGUGGCCUAGCAUGGUUACAACGGGUAACGGGGGAUUAGGGUUCUAUUCCGGAGAGGGAGCCUGAGAAACGGCUACCACAUCCAAGGAAGGCAGCAGGCGCGCAAAUUACCCAAUCCCGACACGGGGAGGUAGUGACAAUAAAUACUGAUACAGGGCUCUUUUGGGUCUUGUAAUUGGAAUGAGUACGAUUUAAACACCCUAACGAGGAACAAUUGGAGGGCAAGUCUGGUGCCAGCAGCCGCGGUAAUUCCAGCUCCAAUAGCGUAUAUUAAAGUUGUUGCAGUUAAAACGCUCGUCGUUGAACCUUGGGCCUGGGCGACCGGUCUCCCUCACCGGAUGCACUGGUUCGGCCGGGCCUUUCCUUCUGGGGAAUCGCAUGCCCUUCGCUGGGCGUGUCGAGGAUCCAGGACUUUUACUUUGAAAAAAUUAGAGUGUUCAAAGCAGGCCUUUGCUCGAAUACCUUAGCAUGGAAUAAUAGAAUAGGACGUGCGGUCCUAUUUUGUUGGUUUCUAGGACCGCCGUAAUGAUUAAUAGGGUCAGUUGGGGGCAUCAGUAUUCAAUUGUCAGAGGUGAAAUUCUUAGAUUUAUUGAAGACUAACUACUGCGAAAGCAUUUGCCAAAGAUGUUUUCAUUAAUCAGUGAACGAAAGUUAGGGGAUCGAAGACGAUCAGAUACCGUCGUAGUCCUAACCAUAAACUAUGCCGACUAGGGAUCGGGCGAUGUUAUCAUUUUGACUCGCUCGGCACCUUACGAGAAAUCAAAG
rnacentral:rRNA from 1 species